rnacentral:rRNA from 1 species
CGGACGGGUGAGUAACGCGUGGGUGACCUGCCUCAUACAGGGGGAUAACGGUUAGAAAUGACUGCUAAUACCGCAUAAGCGCACAGUACCGCAUGGUACGGUGUGAAAAACUCCGGUGGUAUGAGAUGGACCCGCGUCUGAUUAGCUGGUUGGUGAGGUAACGGCCCACCAAGGCGACGAUCAGUAGCCGACCUGAGAGGGUGACCGGCCACAUUGGGACUGAGACACGGCCCAG